rnacentral:rRNA from 1 species
CGACAGUGCGAUAGGGGGACUCCGAGUGUGAGGGCAUAUAGCCCUCGCUUUUCUGUACCGUAAGGUGGUACAGGAACAAGGACUGGGCAAGACCGGUGCCAGCCGCCGCGGUAAUACCGGCAGUCCGAGUGAUGGCCGAUAUUAUUGGGCCUAAAGCGUCCGUAGCUUGCUGUGUAAGUCCAUUGGGAAAUCGACCAGCUCAACUGGUCGGCGUCCGGUGGAAACUACACAGCUUGGGGCCGAGAGACUCAACGGGUACGUCCGGGGUAGGAGUGAAAUCCUGUAAUCCUGGACGGACCACCAAUGGGGAAACCACGUUGAGAGACCGGACCCGACAGUGAGGGACGAAAGCCAGGGUCUCGAACCGGAUUAGAUACCCGGGUAGUCCUGGCCGUAAACAAUGCUCGCUAGGUAUGUCACGCGCCAUGAGCACGUGAUGUGCCGUAGUGAAGACGAUAAGCGAGCCGCCUGGGAAGUACGUCCGCAAGGAUGAAACUUAAAGGAAUUGGCGGGGGAGCACCACAACCGGAGGAGCCUGCGGUUUAAUUGGACUCAACGCCGGACAUCUCACCGGUCCCGACAGUAGUAAUGACAGUCAGGUUGACGACUUUACUCGACGCUACUGAGAGGAGGUGCAUGGCCGCCGUCAGCUCGUACCGUGAGGCGUCCUGUUAAGUCAGGCAACGAGCGAGACCCGCACUUCUAGUUGCCAGCAACACCCUUGUGGUGGUUGGGUACACUAGGAGGACUGCCAUUGCUAAAAUGGAGGAAGGAACGGGCAACGGUAGGUCAGUAUGCCCCGAAUGGACCGGGCAACACGCGGGCUACAAUGGCUCUGACAGUGGGAUGCAACGCCGAGAGGCGACGCUAAUCUCCAAACGGAGUCGUAGUUCGGAUUGCGGGCUGAAACCCGCCCGC